AGCAUAGCAGGUAUUUGGCCAGCCAAACGCCACAAUCGGAACCCAUUUUGACCGUUUAUGUUUCUGAUGACGUCGAAAAAGUUGUAUAUUUUGCCACUUUU